GACGAACGCUGGCGGCGUGCUUAACACAUGCAAGUCGAACGGUGAAGCUCCAGCUUGCUGGAGUGGAUCAGUGGCGAACGGGUGAGUAACACGUGAGCAACCUGCCCCAGACUCUGGAAUAAGCGCUGGAAACGGCGUCUGAUACUGGAUACGAGAUCAAGCCGCAUGGUUAUGGUCUGGAAAGUUUUUCGGUUUGGGAUGGGCUCGCGGCCUAUCAGCUUGUUGGUGAGGUAAUGGCUCACCAAGGCGACGACGGGUAGCCGGCCUGAGAGGGCGACCGGCCACACUGGGACUGAGACACGGCCCAGACUCCUACGGGAGGCAGCAGUGGGGAAUAUUGCACAAUGGGCGAAAGCCUGAUGCAGCGACGCCGCGUGAGGGAUGACGGCCUUCGGGUUGUAAACCUCUUUCAGCAGGGAAGAAGCGAAAGUGACGGUACCUGCAGAAGAAGCACCGGCUAACUACGUG
rnacentral:rRNA from 1 species